rnacentral:lncRNA from 1 species
CGCAGAAGUUGGACAAAGACACACCCACAGGGAAAGCACCAUGAGAAGAUGACGGCAGAGAUCUGGGCGACGCGUCUACAAGCCAAGCGACACCAAAGGUGGCCAGCAGCCCAUGUGAAGCUGGAGGAGAGGCCUCGAAUAAAUGCUCCCUUACAGCGUUCAGGGGGAACUGACCCUGUCCACACCUUGACCUUGAACUUCUGGGCUCCAGAACUGUGAGACAGCAUGUUCUGUUGUUGAAGGAGCAGCGUGGCUAGAGGAAUUCCUGCAGCUUAGAUUUCGCUGGCACUGUUACCACUCCCAGAGAGGAGCGGCUGGAGUUCACGGCUGGUUCCUGACAAACUUCCUAAUUAAUCUGCUAAAGAUCAGAGGAGGACUAAUAGGAGCUGAAGACUGUGUGCGAGACCACCCCUCCGCCCUCUCCCUUUGUGUGUGCACGUGUGUGUGUGUGUGUGUGUGAGCGCGUGCGCGCAUGUGGUGCUGAGCUUGGCGGGAGAGAGAUGGCCUCACCAGCGACAAAGCAUUCCUGCUGCUGUUGCUGCCACCUACCUUCCCUGCUUUGGGAGGAUACAUUUUCUCCUCUUGCUUAGAAGUUUCAGGGAGUCACCCAAGCCUUCUUCUCCCAGAUACAACGGUGGAAUAAAAUAUCUUCCAGCCAACAUAUUUUUUGGAGACGGAAUCUCACUCUGUCACCUGGUUGAAGUGCAGCAGCGCGAUCAUGGCUCACUGCAACCUCUGCCUCCCGGUUUCAAGUGAUUCUCCUGCCUCCGCCUCCCGAGUAGCUGGGAUUACAGGCAUGUGCCACCCACCACGCCUGGGUAAUUUUUGUAUUUUUACUAGAGACAGGGUUUCACUAUGUGGGCUGGGCUGGUCUCAAACUCCUGACCUCUGGUGAUCUGCCCACUUCGGCCUCUCAAAGUGCUGGGAUUACAGGCAUGAGCCCCCGCACCCGGUUGCAACCAACUUUUUUGUGGAAUAUAGGAUCUUGAUGUUUGGAUGCCUGAAGGCAGAAGCUGUUGCACAUGGAAUGGAUUAAAGUUUUCCCCUCUGCAACCAAAAAUCCUUGGGGUCCCAGGAGCAAAAGAUGCUCCAUGGCACAGGACAAUUCAAGAAGGCCCGAGGUGAUAUUGAAGACUGCAGAGACAUCCAGCUCAGUUGUGUCUCCGGAGGUGUCCAGACUUUGCAGACAGACGUUGCACAUAAAGAGCUGAAAAACUGAGGAAGCUGAGCUGGAGAAGGAAGUCACUUCUACUCAGACUUGACCUGCGUCUGAUGCUAUGGGGCCUCUUAGGGUUACCUCAUGCUUCAUGCACCCCUUUCUCUGUUCUUCAGCAGAAGGCAGGGUGUAGGGAAGCGGGACUGUGCCUCCUUUCUCCCUGCCAGGCCUGACUCUCCAGGCCAAGAGACACCAUUAAGGAGUAUAAUUUGUUGAUCCAGGCUCUCCUUGCGUUUCAGUGCAGAGUGGCAUCGUUUUCUUUAUGACCUCGUAAAGUCACAGCCGAGAGGCCGAUUUGGAAAACAAACUGCCUCAGGUUGACAGAUAAUUAGAUACAGGGGACAUAUUAUAUGCCUUUGCAUAUAAAUGUGCUCCGAGGCGUGUUGGUUCAUCUGAAGUUGAGGUUAAAGGCGCGCCAGGUAUUCCUGACACAUCAGGAUAUAUAUUUUCAUACAGUCUCAGGUGCUGUGUUGGUUUUAUAGGCCUUUCAUCCUGGUGCUGACGGAUGGGGUGUGAUUGUGACCCAACUUAGAAGAAAGGGACUUCCCUUGCCCAGGGGCCUCCUGGCGUUUUUGUUUUGUGUUCUCCCUCUCCACCCCCACUUUCUCUUCUUCCUUGGGAAGGGAACUGUUCUUUGGACCUAGGAUUCUGCCGUGAGUGACUAAUGGCCUGAGUAGGAGGGACCGGGACUCAUUUUUCUUUUCUGGACUCUAAUAGGCCCAAUUAAUUCAGCUACAACAUGGGCCCUUACAAGCCUGGGACAAGCCUGGGUGGAAUUCUAUAUUGAGGAGUUAAUCCUAAUAAAAAAUGAUUACAGAAGAGGACGCCUCCACCCACAGGAAGGAGCCAGCACGGUGGGGAGCUGUUUCACCAGGGGAGUGUUCUCAGCAGCUGCCACACGUGGAGUUGUGGAGGUAGCAAGCAGAGUUGGGGGAGGAGGGGGAGCCCUGGUUCCUGCUCUUCCAUGAUCAGUGUGCAGCCUUGAGCAUGGCACUCCCUCUCUUCCCAGCUUAGUGUCCUCAUCCGUAAAAUGAGGGGCUCUCUGAGAGUCUGCCAGGGCCGCUGUCUGAUCUGUGACAGCGUGGCAUGUGGUGUGGUAUGUAAUGCACGUUCCUGCCUGCAGGGAGGCCCUCUCCCUUCCCCCACCAGGCUUCUGGGCAGCACUUGCUGUCAUCCUUGCUUCUGGAACAGGACUGUGCUGUUUUCCAGGCCAAAUUGGAGGGCUGAGGGGGUCUAUUAAGAAGACUCUGGGGAGAUGGUGGAACAAUUCUGUGCUUGAAAUUACCUUCCUCUUUAAAUCUUGCCAUGGCCCUAUUAGAAAAGCUAAGGGGGCAGGAGGAGAGGAGCGGGCAGGGAGAGGAGAGAGAGAGAGAAGAAGGAAGAAGGAAAGGGAAAGGUAAGAAACCCCAUAGCCCGACCCUCAGCCCUGUUGAAGGAGAUUAUAUAAAUAGAGUCGCUGUCACUUUGAUGAAUUAAAUCCUCCGUUAAUUAGGACGCAUCCAUUUAAGGGUUGUCCAGCCAGAUAGUCCUUUUCCCUUCCCAGCAAGUCAUAGCUCAGGGAGGAGGCAUGAGAGGGAUCGUUUUCUGUUUCUGGCUUGAUUGCUGGUUUCUUUCUUACUAGGCUUCAUUAAUUAUCCUGGAAUGUGGUCACCCAGUUUUCUUCAACAUGGGCCAUUCUCCUUUUAGCAGGAUCUUGGCAGUGGACUGCCACGGGAGCUCUGGGGAAAAAGGACCAGUUGGACUCCAGUACCUCCUGAGAGACCACCACCCUCCAUGCCUCCAGCUCAUGCCCAGCUCUGAGUCAGACGGACUCUUCCUGUUGUACUGCGAGGUUCUGCAAACCUUGAAGGGCAAACACAGUGAGGGUCUCUGACUUGCUGUGUGGACAGCCCACUCUCUGACAGCCCAGAUCAUCUGAAGCUAUCCCUGGGCUGGGAGCUGGAAGCCAUUCUUGUGAACCACUCCUUAUACCUUGAGCGAAGCCUCUUUGGGUCCCAGAAGUCUGAAGCUCCAGCUGCCUGGCAAGACUGAGUCUAGAUGAUUUCUUGGGUACCAGUAGUUUGGCAUUUAAAAAUACUGGAUUAACUGCAGUGUAAACUUAGAUUGCAUUUCAGAUUGUAAACAAUAACCCCCGUGCUUCAUGUGAUGUUAAAUCAGAAAUGAGCUAUUAGCCAAGCUAGUCCUCUUAUGAAUGAGCCCCUAACCCUGAUCCAGGGAUCGUUGAAUGAAAAUCAUCAAAAUGAUUUAUCUUCACUUUACCUAUUGUCUCACAAGAAUCUCAUCACUCAGGGAAAAGGAGGGUGUUCUUCAGGGAACGGAGGGCAUGAGGAAGGGGGAUUUCCUUAUAUCUCAACUUUCAGAGGGAGCUGAGUUGUAAACAGAUGGAACAAGGUGUGUACGAGAAGCCUCUUAGAUUUAGUCUUUCAUAUCAAGGCUCUUGCUGAAAAUCCUGGCACAGCUGUGAAAUGAGGGGAGCUCUGACACACAGAGACACGCUCCUUGCCUCACCAACCUUCCCAUACACAGUCAUGCGCACAGAGAGCAGGUACCAAUACUGAAAAUGCCCUUCCGGAGUUUCCUCAGCUUAAACCCUUGACAGCAUUAAGUGAGGAAGGAGUUUCCUUGACCUGGGGAAGAAGAACCAACUCAUAAACAUGGAACUGUG